UACGUAGGGACCAAGCGUUGUUCGGAUUUACUGGGCGUAAAGGGCGCGUAGGCGGCGUGACAAGUCACUUGUGAAAUCUCCGGGCUUAACUCGGAACGGUCAAGUGAUACUGUUGUGCUAGAGUACAGAAGGGGCAAUCGGAAUUCUUGGUGUAGCGGUGAAAUGCGUAGAUAUCAGGAGGAACACCAAUUGCGAAGGCAGCUCGCUGGGACGUUACUGACGCUGAGACGCGAAAGCGUGGGGAGCAAACAGG
rnacentral:rRNA from 1 species